GAUGAACGCUAGCUACAGGCUUAACACAUGCAAGUCGAGGGGCAGCAUGGUCUUAGCUUGCUAAGGCCGAUGGCGACCGGCGCACGGGUGAGUAACACGUAUCCAACCUGCCGUCUACUCUUGGACAGCCUUCUGAAAGGAAGAUUAAUACAAGAUGGCAUCAUGAGUCCGCAUGUUCACAUGAUUAAAGGUAUUCCGGUAGACGAUGGGGAUGCGUUCCAUUAGAUAGUAGGCGGGGUAACGGCCCACCUAGUCUUCGAUGGAUAGGGGUUCUGAGAGGAAGGUCCCCCACAUUGGAACUGAGACACGGUCCAAACUCCUACGGGAGGCAGCAGUGAGGAAUAUUGGUCAAUGGGCGAGAGCCUGAACCAGCCAAGUAGCGUGAAGGAUGACUGCCCUAUGGGUUGUAAACUUCUUUUAUAAAGGAAUAAAGUCGGGUAUGGAUACCCGUUUGCAUGUACUUUAUGAAUAAGGAUCGGCUAACUCCGUGCCAGCAGCCGCGGUAAUACGGAGGAUCCGAGCGUUAUCCGGAUUUAUUGGGUUUAAAGGGAGCGUAGAUGGAUGUUUAAGUCAGUUGUGAAAGUUUGCGGCUCAACCGUAAAAUUGCAGUUGAUACUGGAUAUCUUGAGUGCAGUUGAGGCAGGCGGAAUUCGUGGUGUAGCGGUGAAAUGCUUAGAUAUCACGAAGAACUCCGAUUGCGAAGGCAGCCUGCUAAGCUGCAACUGACAUUGAGGCUCGAAAGUGUGGGUAUCAAACAGGAUUAGAUACCCUGGUAGUCCACACGGUAAACGAUGAAUACUCGCUGUUUGCGAUAUACGGCAAGCGGCCAAGCGAAAGCGUUAAGUAUUCCACCUGGGGAGUACGCCGGCAACGGUGAAACUCAAAGGAAUUGACGGGGGCCCGCACAAGCGGAGGAACAUGUGGUUUAAUUCGAUGAUACGCGAGGAACCUUACCCGGGCUUAAAUUGCAGAUGAAUUACGGUGAAAGCCGUAAGCCGCAAGGCAUCUGUGAAGGUGCUGCAUGGUUGUCGUCAGCUCGUGCCGUGAGGUGUCGGCUUAAGUGCCAUAACGAGCGCAACCCUUGUUGUCAGUUACUAACAGGUUCCGCUGAGGACUCUGACAAGACUGCCAUCGUAAGAUGUGAGGAAGGUGGGGAUGACGUCAAAUCAGCACGGCCCUUACGUCCGGGGCUACACACGUGUUACAAUGGGGGGUACAGAGGGCCGCUACCACGCGAGUGGAUGCCAAUCCCCAAAACCUCUCUCAGUUCGGACUGGAGUCUGCAACCCGACUCCACGAAGCUGGAUUCGCUAGUAAUCGCGCAUCAGCCACGGCGCGGUGAAUACGUUCCCGGGCCUUGUACACACCGCCCGUCAAGCCAUGGGAGCCGGGGGUACCUGAAGUGCGUAACCGCGAGGAGCGCCCUAGGGUAAAACU
rnacentral:rRNA from 1 species